CACAUAGAGACACACACAGACGCGCGGGCACACGGGAGCGAGGUUUCCGCUGCCGCUGCCAGAGACAACAGGCAGCAGCCGAGCUCGGGCUGCGCAGGCGGAGCAGCGGCAGCGGUGGGAGAGAGGGACACACAUACACACACACACACACACACACACACGCAAGCACACACACCCACGCACCGCGGGCCAGGCAGAAAUGUGCAUUUCAGAAAUACCGGAGCACGGCCCCCGUUUCCUUCCCCCAGCCCCCGCCGCACCCCCGGGGGGUGGAGUGAUGAAUGGGCCGCACGCCCUUGGUUUCCCUCCGGCCACUCCGGCACACCGCUCCCCGGCGCGGAGCCGCCGCGGCACGCUGGGCGGGGGCGGCCCCCCCACACAUCCGUCGGGGACGUUGGGAGAUAUUGAUCACGGACGACUUCAUUUUGCAUAACUGCGGCUGACAGGGCCUGUGGUUCCCUCAUUUACGGAGCAACAGCUUCGCGGGGCUGAUGGAUGGGGAGCGGCUCCCUCCGCUCCGCCAGCCCCCCACUCGGUUCCCCAGCGCCAGCCCCGCAGCCCCGCCGGGGGAGGCUCCGCGCCUCACGCAGCAAAUGGCCGCGCACAACAGGCAAAUAUUAAACUUA